rnacentral:rRNA from 2 species
AAAUUGAAGAGUUUGAUCAUGGCUCAGAUUGAACGCUGGCGGCAGGCCUAACACAUGCAAGUCGAGCGGUAGCACAGAGAGCUUGCUCUCGGGUGACGAGCGGCGGACGGGUGAGUAAUGUCUGGGAAACUGCCUGAUGGAGGGGGAUAACUACUGGAAACGGUAGCUAAUACCGCAUAACGUCGCAAGACCAAAGUGGGGGACCUUCGGGCCUCAUGCCAUCAGAUGUGCCCAGAUGGGAUUAGCUAGUAGGUGGGGUAAUGGCUCACCUAGGCGACGAUCCCUAGCUGGUCUGAGAGGAUGACCAGCCACACUGGAACUGAGACACGGUCCAGACUCCUACGGGAGGCAGCAGUGGGGAAUAUUGCACAAUGGGCGCAAGCCUGAUGCAGCCAUGCCGCGUGUGUGAAGAAGGCCUUCGGGUUGUAAAGCACUUUCAGCGGGGAGGAAGGCGUUAAGGUUAAUAACCUUGGCGAUUGACGUUACCCGCAGAAGAAGCACCGGCUAACUCCGUGCCAGCAGCCGCGGUAAUACGGAGGGUGCAAGCGUU